rnacentral:rRNA from 1 species
AUGCUAGAGCCCCUCAAGUCCACGUGGCCGCUCAAAGGAAAUGUGGUCCAAGUGAUCACGGACAAUGCAUCCAAUGUCAAAGGUGCUGGAUUGAUGAUCCAAGCAAAGUACACCAAUAUUUACUGGACUCCUUGCAUUGUGCACUGCCUCAAUCUUGUGUUGAAGGAGAUAUGUGAUCCAAAGAUGCAUUAUGAAGACUUUGAAGUUCUUAACUUUAUAAAAGAGGUUUCCGAACUAGCUCUCUUUGUCAAGAACUUCAUAAUGACCCAUGGCAUGAGGUUGUCAAUGUUGAAUGAGUUUAGCAAACUUAAGUUUCUUCACAUAGCAGAAACCAGAUUUGCAAGUUUGCUCUUUAUAUAUGUUUGUCAUUUGACAAUCUCAAGUUCUCAACUUUAA